CAGCCCCACUACGUCAGUGUUGGGUUCCUCAGUGAACUGCACUAUCAGCCUGCCUGUAGAAACCACAACAACACCAUUGUGGAAUGUGUCAGCAGAAAUGUUGUGUGUGUAGUGAGAGAGGAGCUGCAGGUCACGCAAAAUAAGAGCCAAGAAAAGCAAGGAGAGAAGGAAUGGGAAGGCAUUAUAGCUAUGCUGUCGGACCUAAAACUGAUUACUGCAUUUGUGAUUGGUGCAGCCCUCUCAGCCACCAUCUGUUGUAUCUUCCUGUGUUUGAAAGGGAAAUGUAAAAGG